rnacentral:rRNA from 1 species
UACAGAGGUCCCGAGCGUUGUUCGGAUUCACUGGGCGUAAAGGGUGCGUAGGUGGCGAGGUAAGUCGGAUGUGAAAUCUCCAAGCUUAACUUGGAAAUGGCAUUGGAAACUACCUGGCUAGAGGUUUGGAGGGGGGACUGGAAUGCUUGGUGUAGCAGUGAAAUGCGUAGAUAUCAAGCGGAACACCAGUGGCGAAGGCGGGUUGCUGGGCUGACACUGACGCUGAGGCACGAAAGCGUGGGGAGCAAACAGG